UGACCAGGCUGGUCUCGAAUUCCUGACCUCAGGUGAUCCGCCCACCUCAGCCUCCCAAAGUGCCAGGAUUACAGGUGUGAACCACUGUGCCCGGCCGGCACCAAAACUUGCACCUAUCCUAAAUAUGGAGCUUCAGUGCCGAGGCUGCAGGGCUGCUGUCUGCCUCUUUACCUGGCUUCUAGGCCGCCAGG
rnacentral:sRNA from 1 species